GCUUGGAUAGCUCAGUUGGUAGAGCACUUCCCUGAAGAGGAAGGGGUCGUCGGUUCGAGCCCGACUCCAAGCA
rnacentral:tRNA from 2 species